GGGUUGUGAGGUUAAGCGACUAAGCGUACACGGUGGAUGCCCUGGCAGUCAGAGGCGAUGAAGGGCGUGCUAAUCUGCGAUAAGCGCCGGUAAGGUGAUAUGAACCGUUAUAACCGGCGAUACCCGAAUGGGGAAACCCAGUGUGACUCGUCACACUAUCAUUAACUGAAUCCAUAGGUUAAUGAGGCGAACCGGGGGAACUGAAACAUCUAAGUACCCCGAGGAAAAGAAAUCAACCGAGAUUCCCCCAGUAGCGGCGAGCGAACGGGGAGGAGCCCAGAGCCUGAAUCAGCAUGUGUGUUAGUGGAAGCGUCUGGAAAGGCGCGCGAUACAGGGUGACAGCCCCGUACACAAAAGCGUAUGUGCUGUGAGCUCGAUGAGUAGGGCGGGACACGUGGUAUCCUGUCUGAAUAUGGGGGGACCAUCCUCCAAGGCUAAAUACUCCUGACUGACCGAUAGUGAACCAGUACCGUGAGGGAAAGGCGAAAAGAACCCCGGCGAGGGGAGUGAAAAAGAACCUGAAACCGUGUACGUACAAGCAGUGGGAGCCCCACCACUAAGCCAGUGGUGAACUCCACAUACGCAUCCUUUGCUGAGGAUACGGUUAACGGAGCGAAAGCGACGUUCAACCGCAAAAGAAGCAGAGGGGGCUUAGUGGUGGGGUGACUGCGUACCUUUUGUAUAAUGGGUCAGCGACUUAUAUUCUGUAGCAAGGUUAACCGAAUAGGGGAGCCGGAGGGAAACCGAGUCUUAAUUGGGCGUUAAGUUGCAGGGUAUAGACCCGAAACCCGGUGAUCUAGCCAUGGGCAGGUUGAAGGUUGGGUAACACUAACUGGAGGACCGAACCGACUAAUGUUGAAAAAUUAGCGGAUGACCUGUGGCUGGGGGUGAAAGGCCAAUCAAACCGGGAGAUAGCUGGUUCUCCCCGAAAGCUAUUUAGGUAGCGCCUCGUGAAUUCAUCUCCGGGGGUAGAGCACUGUUUCGGCUAGGGGGCCAUCCCGGCUUACCAACCCGAUGCAAACUGCGAAUACCGGAGAAUGUUAUCACGGGAGACACACGGCGGGUGCUAACGUCCGUCGUGAAGAGGGAAACAACCCAGACCGCCAGCUAAGGUCCCAAAGUCAUGGUUAAGUGGGAAACGAUGUGGGAAGGCCCAGACAGCCAGGAUGUUGGCUUAGAAGCAGCCAUCAUUUAAAGAAAGCGUAAUAGCUCACUGGUCGAGUCGGCCUGCGCGGAAGAUGUAACGGGGCUAAACCAUGCACCGAAGCUGCGGCAGCGACGCUUAUGCGUUGUUGGGUAGGGGAGCGUUCUGUAAGCCUGUGAAGGUGGCCUGUGAGGGUUGCUGGAGGUAUCAGAAGUGCGAAUGCUGACAUAAGUAACGAUAAAGCGGGUGAAAAGCCCGCUCGCCGGAAGACCAAGGGUUCCUGUCCAACGUUAAUCGGGGCAGGGUGAGUCGACCCUAAGGCGAGGCCGAAAGGCGUAGUCGAUGGGAAACGGGUUAAUAUUCCCGUACUUGGUGUUACUGCGAAGGGGGACGGAGAAGGCUAUGUUGGCCGGGCGACGGUUGUCCCGGUUUAAGCGUGUAGGUGUGUGUUCCGGGUAAAUCCGGUUCACUUUAACACUGAGGCGUGAUGACGAGGCACUACGGUGCUGAAGUAACAAAUGCCCUGCUUCGGGAAAAGCCUCUAAGCAUCAGGUAACAUCAAAUCGUACCCCAAACCGACACAGGUGGUCAGGUAGAGAAUACCAAGGCGCUUGAGAGAACUCGGGUGAAGGAACUAGGCAAAAUGGUGCCGUAACUUCGGGAGAAGGCACGCUGACACGUAGGUGAAGUGAUUUACUCAUGGAGCUGAAGUCAGUCGAAGAUACCAGCUGGCUGCAACUGUUUAUUAAAAACACAGCACUGUGCAAACACGAAAGUGGACGUAUACGGUGUGACGCCUGCCCGGUGCCGGAAGGUUAAUUGAUGGGGUCAGCGCAAGCGAAGCUCCUGAUCGAAGCCCCGGUAAACGGCGGCCGUAACUAUAACGGUCCUAAGGUAGCGAAAUUCCUUGUCGGGUAAGUUCCGACCUGCACGAAUGGCGUAAUGAUGGCCAGGCUGUCUCCACCCGAGACUCAGUGAAAUUGAACUCGCUGUGAAGAUGCAGUGUACCCGCGGCAAGACGGAAAGACCCCGUGAACCUUUACUAUAGCUUGACACUGAACAUUGAGCCUUGAUGUGUAGGAUAGGUGGGAGGCUUUGAAGUGUGGACGCCAGUCUGCAUGGAGCCGACCUUGAAAUACCACCCUUUAAUGUUUGAUGUUCUAACGUGGACCCGUGAUCCGGGUUGCGGACAGUGUCUGGUGGGUAGUUUGACUGGGGCGGUCUCCUCCUAAAGAGUAACGGAGGAGCACGAAGGUUGGCUAAUCCUGGUCGGACAUCAGGAGGUUAGUGCAAUGGCAUAAGCCAGCUUGACUGCGAGCGUGACGGCGCGAGCAGGUGCGAAAGCAGGUCAUAGUGAUCCGGUGGUUCUGAAUGGAAGGGCCAUCGCUCAACGGAUAAAAGGUACUCCGGGGAUAACAGGCUGAUACCGCCCAAGAGUUCAUAUCGACGGCGGUGUUUGGCACCUCGAUGUCGGCUCAUCACAUCCUGGGGCUGAAGUAGGUCCCAAGGGUAUGGCUGUUCGCCAUUUAAAGUGGUACGCGAGCUGGGUUUAGAACGUCGUGAGACAGUUCGGUCCCUAUCUGCCGUGGGCGCUGGAGAACUGAGGGGGGCUGCUCCUAGUACGAGAGGACCGGAGUGGACGCAUCACUGGUGUUCGGGUUGUCAUGCCAAUGGCACUGCCCGGUAGCUAAAUGCGGAAGAGAUAAGUGCUGAAAGCAUCUAAGCACGAAACUUGCCCCGAGAUGAGUUCUCCCUGAGACUUUAGGUCUCCUGAAGGAACGUUGAAGACGACGACGUUGAUAGGCCGGGUGUGUAAGCGCAGCGAUGCGUUGAGCUAACCGGUACUAAUGAACCGUGAGGCUUAACCUUACAACGCCGAAG
rnacentral:rRNA from 1 species